rnacentral:rRNA from 1 species
UACGAAGGGGGCUAGCGUUGCUCGGAAUCACUGGGCGUAAAGCGCACGUAGGCGGAUCUUUAAGUCAGGGGUGAAAUCCUGGAGCUCAACUCCAGAACUGCCUUUGAUACUGGGGAUCUCGAGUCCGGGAGAGGUGAGUGGAACUGCGAGUGUAGAGGUGAAAUUCGUAGAUAUUCGCAAGAACACCAGUGGCGAAGGCGGCUCACUGGCCCGGUACUGACACUGAGGCGCGACAGCGUGGGGAGCAAACAGG